GAGGCUUCGGCAAUGGGGGAAACCCUGACCGAGCGACGCCGCGUGCGGGAUGAAGGCCUUCGGGUUGUAAACCGCUGUCAGGAGGGAAGAAUCCUCCCGGGCGAAUACCCCGGGAGUUGACGGUACCUCCAGAGGAAGCUCCGGCUAACUCCGUGCCAGCAGCCGCGGUAAUACGGAGGGAGCGAACGUUGUUCGGAUUUACUGGGCGUAAAGGGCGUGUAGGCGGUUUGGCAAGUCGGGGGUGAAAUGCCUCGGCUCAGCCGGGGACCUGCCUUCGAAACUGCCGAACUUGAGGCCGUGAGAGGAGACUGGAAUUCCUAGUGUAGCGGUGAAAUGCAUAGAUAUUAGGAAGAACACCAGUGGCGAAGGCGAGUCUCUGGCACGGUUCUGACGCUGAUGCGCGAAAGCUAGGGGAGCAAACGGG
rnacentral:rRNA from 1 species